rnacentral:lncRNA from 1 species
CCCAUUUUUGCUUCUUCCUGGUACCUUUUAUUUAAAAGAGUAAAGGCCAGUCAGGUGAUCAAGAGUAAUAAUAAUACUCGUGUGUUGUUAAAAUGUAAACUAACGUCAGCAAAUAUGAGGCUAUAGUAAUUCUAUUUCCCUUUUGCUGAAGUCUCUGAAUGAAUCUGAAUGAACCAGAAAAUAUAUAUGUGAUGGAUGUGGCCAAUUGUUACAGACUUCUAUUCUCCUAGCUAGUAUUUGUUUAAUAUUUUGUAUUAUAAUGUUAUAAACAUUCACAUGCCCUUCACUGUAAGCUAAUGCUAUUCAUUGGUGUUUAAUUUCCAGGAGUUGGAGUUGGAGUUGGAGUCUGUUGAAUUACAUGGAGCUGUACAAAAGUAAAGAAAAACAUCAAUAUAUAUAUAUUUUUGUGGAAAACUGUGGAUUACUAUGUUGUUUGGAUGAAGAAAACUAUGGACUGUACUUGUCAAAAAAAUGGACACUAGCUUGGAACGCAGCUGGUGGUCUAAUGGAGGGCUGGACUUGGAACCCAGUCAGCAGCUUACUUAAGCUUGAAGUUCUUGCAGUAAGGUUCUGCAACUCAGUUGUAUUACACAGAACUGCAAACCUGAACGCAACAUGUGAAUAAAAUCAUCUAUAUAUUUUUUUCUGAACUGUGGAUUACUAUGCUGUUUGGAUAAAGAAAACUGUGGCCUGUACUUGUCUGAAAAUGGACACCAGCUUGGUAAGACAUAGGCUAUUUAAUAUGUGACUUGACAAAUGUAUUCAACAUCUACUGUACGUCUGUGUGUUCUUAACAGGUCAGUAGAUACAUCAG